GUGAGCAGGUGGGCGGGGCCCGGGGGUCGCUGCAGUGUUAGUGCUCUCCGUGGAGGCGUGAGCAGGUGGGCGGGGCCCGGGGGUCGCUGCAGUGUUAGUGCUCUCCGUGGAGGCGUGAGCAGGUGGGCGGGGCCCGGGGGUCGCUGCAGUGUUAGUGCUCUCCGUGGAGGCGUGAGCAGGUGGGCGGGGCCCCGGGGGUCGCUGCAGUGUUAGUGCUCGCCGUGGAGGCGUGAGCAGGUGGGCGGGGCCCCGGGGUCGCUGCAGUGUUAGUGCUCGCCGUGGAGGCGUGAGCAGGUGGGCGGGGCCCGGGGUCGCUGCAGUGUUAGUGCUCGCCGUGGAGGCGUGAGCAGGUGGGCGGGGCCCGGGGUCGCUGCAGUGUUAGUGCUCGCCGUGGAGGCGUGAGCAGGUGGGCGGGGCCCGGGGGUCGCUGCAGUGUUAGUGCUCGCCGUGGAGGCGUGAGCAGGUGGGCGGGGCCCGGGGGUCGCUGCAGUGUUAGUGCUCGCCGUGGAGGCGUGAGCAGGUGGGCGGGGCCCGGGGGUCGCUGCAGUGUUAGUGCUCGCCGUGGAGGCGUGAGCAGGUGGGCGGGGCCCGGGGGUCGCUGCAGUGUUAGUGCUCGCCGUGGAGGCGUGAGCAGGUGGGCGGGGCCCGGGGGUCGCUGCAGUGUUAGUGCUCGCCGUGGAGGCGUGAGCAGGUGGGCGGGGCCCCGGGGGUCGCUGCAGUGUUAGUGUUCGCCGUGGAGGCGUGAGCAGGUGGGCGGGGCCCGGGGGUCGCUGCAGUGUUAGUGCUCGCCGUGGAGGCGUGAGCAGGUGGGCGGGGCCCGGGGUCGCUGCAGUGUUAGUGUUCGCCGUGGAGGCGUGAGCAGGUGGGCGGGGCCCGGGGGUCGCUGCAGUGUUAGUGCUCGCCGUGGAGGCGUGAGCAGGUGGGCGGGGCCCCGGGGUCGCUGCAGUGUUAGUGCUCGCCGUGGAGGCGUGAGCAGGUGGGCGGGGCCCCGGGGUCGCUGCAGUGUUAGUGCUCGCCGUGGAGGCGUGAGCAGGUGGGCGGGGCCCGGGGGUCGCUGCAGUGUUAGUGCUCGCCGUGGAGGCGUGAGCAGGUGGGCGGGGCCCCGGGGUCGCUGCAGUGUUAGUGCUCGCCGUGGAGGCGUGAGCAGGUGGGCGGGGCCCGGGGGUCGCUGCAGUGUUAGUGCUCUCCGUGGAGGCGUGAGCAGGUGGGCGGGGCCCGGGGGUCGCUGCAGUGUUAGUGCUCGCCGUGGAGGCGUGAGCAGGUGGGCGGGGCCCCGGGGGUCGCUGCAGUGUUAGUGUUCGCCGUGGAGGCGUGAGCAGGUGGGCGGGGCCCGGGGGUCGCUGCAGUGUUAGUGCUCGCCGUGGAGGCGUGAGCAGGUGGGCGGGGCCCGGGGUCGCUGCAGUGUUAGUGUUCGCCGUGGAGGCGUGAGCAGGUGGGCGGGGCCCGGGGGUCGCUGCAGUGUUAGUGCUCGCCGUGGAGGCGUGAGCAGGUGGGCGGGGCCCCGGGCCUCCGGGACACUCCUGUAUUAGUGCUCCUGUAAUAGUGCAGUCCUGGGAGCACCGAGGGAGGGCUCACACCAGAAACCUUCCCUGGGGAUGAAGGGAAGCAGUGACAGCCAGCACCCAAGGGCUGCUGUUUUCUUCCUCCCGACUUCUUCCUUUUUCUUUUUUUUUUUAAUUACCAGAGGAACACGUGCUUAGGGUAAAGCAUGGCAGAUAUAAAACAUGGCAGGUCAGUGGCCGGCUCUGGCCUCAGCCCCAUGGCCCACGUUUUGUGCCUUUUCCUCCGGGCGCGUCUCUGUGCUCCGUGAAUGUUACGUGAAAGAAAGUAAAGCCUGGCAGUGUGUUGAAAGGAAAGUGAGAGUGAACGUCGAGGGCCUCUUCGUGUGUCAUUUACUGUAUUACCAGAUGAAGACAGAAAAACUACACGGUCACAGAGAUGCAGUAAAAGAAUUUGAUGAAAUUCCA